rnacentral:rRNA from 1 species
GACGAACGCUGGCGGCGUGCUUAACACAUGCAAGUCGAACGGUAAGGCCCUUCGGGGUACACGAGUGGCGAACGGGUGAGUAACACGUGGGUGAUCUGCCCUGCGCUUCGGGAUAAGCCUGGGAAACUGGGUCUAGUACCGGAUAGGACUCCUGCCUGCAUGGGUGGGGGUGGAAAGCUUUUGCGGUGUGGGAUGGGCCCGCGGCCUAUCAGCUUGUUGGUGGGGUGAUGGCCUACCAAGGCGACGACGGGUAGCCGGCCUGAGAGGGUGACCGGCCACACUGGGACUGAGAUACGGCCCAGACUCCUACGGGAGGCAGCAGUGGGGAAUAUUGCACAAUGGGCGCAAGCCUGAUGCAGCGACGCCGCGUGAGGGAUGACGGCCUUCGGGUUGUAAACCUCUUUCAGCACAGACGAAGCGCAAGUGACGGUAUGUGCAGAAGAAGGACCGGCCAACUACGUGCCAGCCGCCGCCGUAA